rnacentral:rRNA from 1 species
UCGUAACAAGGUCUCCGUAGGUGAACCUGCGGAGGGAUCAUUACACAAAUAUGAAGGCGGGCUGGAACCUCUCGGGGUUACAGCCUUGCUGAAUUAUUCACCCUUGUCUUUUGCGUACUUCUUGUUUCCUUGGUGGGUUCGCCCACCACUAGGACAAACAUAAACCUUUUGUAAUUGCAAUCAGCGUCAGUAACAAAUUAAUAAUUACAACUUUCAACAACGGAUCUCUUGGUUCUGGCAUCGAUGAAGAACGCAGCGAAAUGCGAUAAGUAGUGUGAAUUGCAGAAUUCAGUGAAUCAUCGAAUCUUUGAACGCACAUUGCGCCCUUUGGUAUUCCAAAGGGCAUGCCUGUUCGAGCGUCAUUUGUACCCUCAAGCUUUGCUUGGCGUUGGGCGUCUUGUCUCUAGCUUUGCUGGAGACUCGCCUUAAAGUAAUUGGCAGCCGGCCUACUGGUUUCGGAGCGCAGCACAAGUCGCACUCUCUAUCAGCAAAGGUCUAGCAUCCAUUAAGCCUUUUUUUCAACUUUUGACCUCGGAUCAGGUAGGGAUACCCGCUGAACUUAAGCAUAUCA